CCUACGGGAGGCAGCAGUGGGGAAUAUUGCACAAUGGGCGAAAGCCUGAUGCAGCAACGCCGCGUGAGCGAUGAAGGCCUUCGGGUCGUAAAGCUCUGUCCUCAAGGAAGAUAAUGACGGUACUUGAGGAGGAAGCCCCGGCUAACUACGUGCCAGCAGCCGCGGUAAUACGUAGGGGGCUAGCGUUAUCCGGAAUUACUGGGCGUAAAGGGUGCGUAGGUGGUUUCUUAAGUCAGAGGUGAAAGGCUACGGCUCAACCGUAGUAAGCCUUUGAAACUGAGAAACUUGAGUGCAGGAGAGGAGAGUAGAAUUCCUAGUGUAGCGGUGAAAUGCGUAGAUAUUAGGAGGAAUACCAGUUGCGAAGGCGGCUCUCUGGACUGUAACUGACACUGAGGCACGAAAGCGUGGGGAGCAAACAGGAUUAGAUACCCUUGUAGUC
rnacentral:rRNA from 1 species